rnacentral:rRNA from 1 species
ACUCCUACGGGAGGCAGCAGUGGGGAAUAUUGGACAAUGGGCGCAAGCCUGAUCCAGCCAUGCCGCGUGAGUGAUGAAGGCCCUAGGGUUGUAAAGCUCUUUCACCGGUGAAGAUAAUGACGGUAACCGGAGAAGAAGCCCCGGCUAACUUCGUGCCAGCAGCCGCGGUAAUACGAAGGGGGCUAGCGUUGUUCGGAUUUACUGGGCGUAAAGCGCACGUAGGCGGACUAUUAAGUCAGGGGUGAAAUCCCGGGGCUCAACCCCGGAACUGCCUUUGAUACUGGUAGUCUUGAGUUCGAGAGAUGUGAGUGGAAUUCCGAGUGUAGAGGUGAAAUUCGUAGAUAUUCGGAGGAACACCAGUGGCGAAGGCGGCUCACUGGCUCGAUACUGACGCUGAGGUGCGAAAGCGUGGGGAGCAAACAGGAUUAGAAACCCGUGUAGUCCCAUGA